rnacentral:rRNA from 1 species
CUAAGGCUCCAGAGGAAGCCACGGCUAACUCUGUGCCAGCAGCCGCGGUAAUACAGAGGCGGCAAGCGUUGUUCGGAAUUGUUGGGCGUAAAGAGCACGUAGGCGGCCUUGCAAGUCAGUUGCGAAAGCCUUCCGCUUAACGGAAGAAUGCCAGCUGAUACUACAGGGCUUGAGUACGGGAGGGGAGAGUGGAACUUCUGGUGGAGCGGUGAAAUGCGUAGAUAUCAGAAGGAACGCCGGCGGCGAAAGCGACUCUCUGGCCCGAAACUGACGCUGAGUGUGCGAAAGCUAGGGGAGCAAACGGGAUUAGAUACCCCGGUAGUCCUAGCCGUAAA